UCCUUGUUUGUGAAGUGGUGAGUAUCCCCACCUGUUGUGUGGGAGACUGGGGUUCAUUUCCCCAGCUGGGAG